GGUGAACGCUGGCGGUGCGCCUAAUACAUGCAAGUCGAACGAGAAACUAAUUUAUUAGUGGAAAGUGGCGGACGAGCGAGUAACACGUAAGCAUCUGCCCCGUACUCAGGGAUAACACGGUGAAAGCCGUGCUAAUACCGGAUGGUCCCGAAAGGGUAAAGAUUUAUCGGUACGGGAGGAGCUUGCGGCCUAUCAGUUUGUUGGUGAGGUAAAGGCUCACCAAGACUAUGACGGGUAGCUGAUGUGAGAGCAUGAUCAGCCGCGAUGGAACUGAGACACGGUCCAU
rnacentral:rRNA from 1 species